GUGGCUCUGCUGCUGCAUGGAGACACACCUGUGAGCAAGCACAAUCAGUGCCACUACAUAUACCUGAUCCUCCUGGAUUAUUCCUUCACCACUGCGAUCUCCCAGCACACCAGGUUUCUCACUAGGUGUUGGAGCCAGCUUGCUGGAUUUUUGUUUUUCUUCAGUUUUCUGUGUAAUAAACUGACUGAAUUAUCCACCUCC